CCUACGGGAGGCAGCAGUGGGGGAUAUUGCACAAUGGGGGGAACCCUGAUGCAGCGACGCCGCGUGGGUGAAGAAGCGCCUCGGCGCGUAAAGCCCUGUCAGCAGGGAAGAAAAUGACGGUACCUGAAGAAGAAGCCCCGGCUAACUACGUGCCAGCAGCCGCGGUAAUACGUAGGGGGCAAGCGUUAUCCGGAUUUACUGGGUGUAAAGGGGGCGCAGACGGCGAUGCAAGCCAGGAGUGAAAGCCCGGGGCCCAACCCGGGGACUGCACUUGAAACUGCGUGGCUGGAGUGCAGGAGGGGCAGGCGGAAGUCCUGGUGUAGCGGUGGAAUGCGUAGAUAUCAGGAGGAACACCGGUGGCGAAGGCGGCCUGCUGGACUGCAACUGACGUUGAGGCCCGAAAGCGUGGGGAGCAAACAGGAUUAGAUACCCUUGUAGUC
rnacentral:rRNA from 1 species